rnacentral:rRNA from 1 species
CCUACGGGGGGCUGCAGUGGGGAAUUUUGGACAAUGGGGGCAACCCUGAUCCAGCCAUGCCGCGUGUGCGAAGAAGGCCUUCGGGUUGUAAAGCACUUUUGUCAGGAACGAAAAGUUUCGCGCUAAUACCGCGGGACGAUGACGGUACCUGAAGAAUAAGCACCGGCUAACUACGUGCCAGCAGCCGCGGUAAUACGUAGGGUGCAAGCGUUAAUCGGAAUUACUGGGCGUAAAGCGUGCGCAGGUGGUUGUGUAAGACAGAUGUGAAAUCCCCGGGCUUAACCUGGGAACUGCAUUUGUGACUGCACGGCUAGAGUGUGUCAGAGGGGGGUGGAAUUCCACGUGUAGCAGUGAAAUGCGUAGAGAUGUGGAGGAACACCAAUGGCGAAGGCAGCCCCCUGGGAUAACACUGACGCUCAUGCACGAAAGCGUGGGGAGCAAACAGGAUUAGAUACCCUAGUAGUC